AAGGAAAUAGGUUAAUUAAACCAUUGGAUUUCAAGUCCAAAAAUAGUUUAUAUUCUUUUCCUUG
rnacentral:tRNA from 1 species